UCUUCCAUUUGGUUCAGGUCUUCAUUUCCC
rnacentral:piRNA from 1 species